UACGAAGGGGGCUAGCGUUGCUCGGAAUCACUGGGCGUAAAGCGCACGUAGGCGGAUUGUUAAGUCGGGGGUGAAAUCCUGGAGCUCAACUCCAGAACUGCCUUUGAUACUGGCGAUCUUGAGUCCGGGAGAGGUGAGUGGAACUCCGAGUGUAGAGGUGAAAUUCGUAGAUAUUCGGAAGAACACCAGUGGCGAAGGCGGCUCACUGGCCCGGUACUGACGCUGAGGUGCGAAAGCGUGGGGAGCAAACAGG
rnacentral:rRNA from 1 species